rnacentral:misc_RNA from 1 species
GUCGGAUUCAGCAGCGCCCGGAACCAGAGACGCAGGCGAAGGACGAAGCGGUCGGUGGAUCUGCAGACGCCUCCUCCUCCAUCCCCGCGGCCGCGAGUAGCGCCCAGUCAACCCGAGCCCCUCGCGAGGUACCACCGCGCGUGCGCCGUGCCUGCAGACGGCUGGUUAAGCAGGUAUACUCUGUCAGCGGCGGCGCGCGGGGGCCGCGGCGCCCUCCUCCGCCCGUCGCGGUCCGGCCAGCACCAUUAUCCGCGCCUAAUCUAUUGAUUGGCGGCGGUGGCGUCCGCUCUUCUCUGUUGCGGCCUCCGGUGCUUCGUUGGAGCAGCCGAGCAGGAUAUUUUUCCUCGCUUUUUUCCGCUUUGCUCAGUGGGUGGGGUUGGGGGCAUGCCGGCACGCUCGGCGGAGCGGACAGAAGAGAAGAGGGUGGGGCCGGAGGAGACAGAGCC